GGCGGCGUGCUUAACACAUGCAAGUCGAACGAUGAACCACUUCGGUGGGGAUUAGUGGCGAACGGGUGAGUAACACGUGGGCAAUCUGCCCUUCACUCUGGGACAAGCCCUGGAAACGGGGUCUAAUACCGGAUACAACCGCUGACCGCAUGGUCGGGCGGUGGAAAGCUCCGGCGGUGAAGGAUGAGCCCGCGGCCUAUCAGCUUGUUGGUGAGGUAAUGGCUCACCAAGGCGACGACGGGUAGCCGGCCUGAGAGGGCGACCGGCCACACUGGGACUGAGACACGGCCCAGACUCCUACGGGAGGCAGCAGUGGGGAAUAUUGCACAAUGGGCGAAAGCCUGAUGCAGCGACGCCGCGUGAGGGAUGACGGCCUUCGGGUUGUAAACCUCUUUCAGCAGGGAAGAAGCGAAAGUGACGGUACCUGCAGAAGAAGCGCCGGCUAACUACGUGCCAGCAGCCGCGGUAAUACGUAGGGCGCAAGCGUUGUCCGGAAUUAUUGGGCGUAAAGAGCUCGUAGGCGGCUUGUCACGUCGGUUGUGAAAGCCCGAGGCUUAACCUCGGGUCUGCAGUCGAUACGGGCAGGCUAGAGUGUGGUAGGGGAGAUCGGAAUUCCUGGUGUAGCGGUGAAAUGCGCAGAUAUCAGGAGGAACACCGGUGGCGAAGGCGGAUCUCUGGGCCAUUACUGACGCUGAGGAGCGAAAGCGUGGGGAGCGAACAGGAUUAGAUACCCUGGUAGUCCACGCCGUAAACGGUGGGCACUAGGUGUUGGCGACAUUCCACGUCGUCGGUGCCGCAGCUAACGCAUUAAGUGCCCCGCCUGGGGAGUACGGCCGC
rnacentral:rRNA from 1 species